AGCAGUAGCCGCGGGAAUACAGAGGAUGCAAGCGUUAUCUGGAAUGAUUGGGCGUAAAGCGACUGUAGGUGGCUUUUCAAGUCUGCAGUCAAAUCCCAAGGCUCAACCCUGGACAGGCGGCGGAAACUACCAAGAUGGAGUACGGUAGGGGCGGAGGGAAUUUCCGGUGGAGCGGUGAAAUGCGUUGAGAUCGGAAAGAACACCAACGGUGAAAGCACUCUGCUGGGCCGACACUGACACUGAGAGACGAAAGUUAGGGGAGAAAAUGGGAUUAGAUACCCCCGUAGUCCCUGUCUCUUAUAC
rnacentral:rRNA from 1 species